rnacentral:rRNA from 1 species
GACGAACGCUGGCGGCGUGCUUAACACAUGCAAGUCGAACGGAAAGACCCUGCUUUUGUGGGGUGCUCGAGUGGCGAACGCGUGAGUAACACGUGAGUAACCUGCCCUUGACUUUGGGAUAACUUCAGGAAACUGGGGUUAAUACCGUAUAGGAUCUCCUGCUGCAUGGUGGGGGUUGGAAAGUUUCGGCGGUUGGGGAUGGAUUCGCGGCUUAUCAGCUUGUUGGUGGGGUAGUGGCUUACCAAGGCUUUGACGGGUAGCCGGCCUGAGAGGGUGACCGGCCACAUUGGGACUGAGAUACGGACCAGAGUCGUACGGGAGGCAGCAGUGGGGAAUAUUGCACAGUGGGCGGAAGCCUGAUGAAGCAACGCCGCGUGCGGGAUGACGGCCUUCGGGUUGUAAACAGCUUUCGCCUGUGACGAAGCGUGAGUGACGGUAAUGGGUAAAGAAGCACCGGCUAACUACGUG